CAUUCGAUGAUGAUCACACUGGAUUUCAUUCCAUAAUUCUAUUCGAUUCCAUUCGAUGAUGAUUCCAUUCAUUUCCAUCCGAUGAUGAUUCCAUUCGAUUCCGUUCAAUGAUUAUUCCAUUCGAGUCCAUUCGAUGAUUCCAUUCGAUUCCAUUCGAUGAUGAUUGCAUUACAGUCCAUGUAUUAUUCCAUUCCAUUCCAUUAGAUGAUUCCAUUCGAGUCCAUUCGAUGAUUCUCUUCGAUUCCAUUCGAUAAUUCCGCUUGAUUCCGUUUGAUGUUGAUUCCAUUCGAGUCCAUUCAAUGUUAAUUCCAUUCGAUUCUAUGCGAUGAUUCCAUUCCUUUCCAUUAGAAGAUGAUUCCAUUCGAGACCAUUCGAUGAUUGCAUUCAAUUCAUUCGAUGACGAUUCCAUUCAAUUCUGUUCAAUGAUUCCAUUUGAUUCCAUUUGAUGUUGAUUCCAUUCGAUUCCAUUUUAUGUUGAUUCCGUGCAAUUCCAUUAGAUGACUCCUUUCAUUUCCAUUCGAUGAUGAUUCCAUUCGUUUCCAUCCGAUGAUGAUUCCAUUCGAUUCCGUUCAAUGAUUAUUCCAUUCGGUUCCAUUCGAUGAUUCCAUUCGAUUCCAUUCGAUGAUGAUUGCAUUCGAGUCCAUGGAUUAUAACAUUCCAUUCCAUUAGAUGAUUCCAUUCGGGUCCGUUCGAUGAUUCUCUUCGAUUCCAUUCGAUAAUUCCGUUUUGUUCCGUUUGUUGUUGAUACCAUUCGAUAACAUUCGAUGAUAAUUCCAUUCGAUUCUAUGCGAUGAUUCCAUUCCAUUCCAUUUGAA
rnacentral:lncRNA from 1 species